AUUGAACGCUAGCGGCAGGCCUAACACAUGCAAGUCGAGCGGUAGAGAGGUGCUUGCAUCUCUUGAGAGCGGCGGACGGGUGAGUAAUGCCUAGGAAUCUGCCUAGUGGUGGGGGAUAACGUUCGGAAACGGACGCUAAUACCGCAUACGUCCUACGGGAGAAAGCGGGGGAUCUUCGGACCUCGCGCCAUUAGAUGAGCCUAGGUCGGAUUAGCUAGUUGGUGAGGUAAUGGCUCACCAAGGCGACGAUCCGUAACUGGUCUGAGAGGAUGAUCAGUCACACUGGAACUGAGACACGGUCCAGACUCCUACGGGAGGCAGCAGUGGGGAAUAUUGGACAAUGGGCGAAAGCCUGAUCCAGCCAUGCCGCGUGUGUGAAGAAGGUCUUCGGAUUGUAAAGCACUUUAAGUUGGGUAGGAAGGGCGAGUAAGUUAAUACCUUGCUGUUUUGUACGUUACCAACAGAAUAAG
rnacentral:rRNA from 1 species